rnacentral:piRNA from 1 species
UCAAUGGUUAUGCAGAGAUUCUCACAGAGC